rnacentral:rRNA from 1 species
CAGUUCGGAUUGAAGGCUGAAAUUCGCCUUCCAUGAAGCCGGAAUUGCUAGUAAUGGCAGGUCAGCAUACUGCCGUGAAUACGUUCCCGGGCCUUGUACACACCGCCCGUCACACCAUGAGAGUUGGGAAUACCCGAAGCCUGUGAGCUAACUUUUAGAGGCAGCAGUCGAAGGUAGAAUCAACGAUUGGGGUGAAGUCGUAACAAGGUAGC